AUUGAACGCUGGCGGCAUGCUUUACACAUGCAAGUCGAACGGCAGCGCGGGCUUCGGCCUGGCGGCGAGUGGCGAACGGGUGAGUAAUGCAUCGGAACGUGCCCAGUAGUGCGGGAUAGCCCGGCGAAAGCCGGAUUAAUACCGCAUACGACCUGAGGGUGAAAGCGGGGGACCGAAAGGCCUCGCGCUAUUGGAGCGGCCGAUGUCGGAUUAGCUAGUUGGUGGGGUAAAGGCUUACCAAGGCGACGAUCCGUAGCUGGUCUGAGAAGACGACCAGCCACACUGGGACUGAGGCACGGCCCAGACUCCUACGGGAGGCAGCAGUGGGGAAUUUUGGACAAUGGGGGCAACCCUGAUCCAGCCAUGCCGCGUGCGGGAAGAAGGCCUUCGGGUUGUAAACCGCUUUUGUUCGGGAAGAAAUCCUCUGGGCUAAUACCCCGGGGGGAUGACGGUACCGGAAGAAUAAGCACCGGCUAACUACGUG
rnacentral:rRNA from 1 species